rnacentral:rRNA from 1 species
CAGCCGCCGCGGGAAUACGAAGGGGGCUAGCGUUGCUCGGAAUGACUGGGCGUAAAGGGCGCGUAGGCGGCGAUCAAAGUCAGGCGUGAAAUUCCUGGGCUCAACCUGGGGGCUGCGUUUGAUACUUGAUUGCUAGAGUGGGGAAGAGGGUCGUGGAAUUCCCAGUGUAGAGGUGAAAUUCGUAGAUAUUGGGAAGAACACCGGUGGCGAAGGCGGCGACCUGGUCCUUGACUGACGCUGAGGCGCGAAAGCGUGGGGAGCAAACAGGAUUAGAUACCCCCGUAGUCCCUGUCUCUUAUAC